AAACAUCUCAGUACCUGGAGGAAGAGAAAAUAAGAAUGAUUUCCCAAGUAGCGGCGAGCGAAAAGGAAGGAGCCCAAACCGAUCUGAGGAUCGGGGUAGAAGGACCAUCACCAAAGCGAAGCGUCAGGCAUAGGAGAAUGAGCUGGGAAGCUCAACCGCAGGGGGUGAAAGUCCCGUAUCCGAAAUGCGAGACGCGCGUGAGAUGGCACCUGAGUACGGCGGGACACGAGGAAUCC
rnacentral:rRNA from 1 species